CCAGUCCUUUCCUGCUUCGGUGUCUCUCCUGCAAGGGCUGCCUCGCUGUCCCUCCUGGGAUCUGGUGAGUCUCCUCUCUCUCUGGGAUCUGGUGGGGGUCCCAGGGCUGGGGCAGGGGAGGGUGCCUGGGGGGCCGGAUCUGCUCAUGCAGGGGGGGGACCCCAAGUCAGGGAGGAGAGGGUCCUGCCAGGGAGGGGCCAGGUCUGCCACGCUCUCCUUCCUGCAGAUCAGAGGAUCCCUGACUCCCACGAAAUCUCCCUUCUUUAAACAAAGGAGUCCCUGGGACUUUAACUCUGUGUGACGUCGCUCAGCCUCAUUGCACAACAGAGGAAACAUGUGCAAAUGGUUUUCCAAAGCUGGACGAGGAGGACGACUAGCCCCCCCCAAAAAAGAAAGGGUGGGAGAGAAAGGCCAGGAAUAAAGAGAGGGAUCCCAGCCCAGAGUCUGGCUGCUGCAUCGCAGACCAGUUUCCCAGUGUCUCCCAGGGCAGCUCCCCACAGAGGCCACUGCAGCAAUCCCCUCGCACCCAGAGCAUGGCAUCCCAGGACCACAUCCUCUCUGCCCCAAAGCGAUUGUUGCUGGAAAACCACCUGGAAACGGGCGCUCCUACUCACCGAGCCUCCAGGGACCUUGGCAUCAGUGGCUGUGUGUGUGUUAAUAAUAAUAAGAAGAAGAAGAAUAUAAGAAUAAAAAAUUACCCUCCUAAAUUUCAAGGGAGAUGUCUUUGGUCCUGCCCACUUGGCCCUCAGGGGGUUGGCCAGAUACAUACCUGGCCCUCAGAGCAAAGAAAAAGGGACCCCGCCCCAGAAGUCUAUUCUGAGAGUGGCAGAGAGUCCAAGUGCAAGAAAAGGAGACGGAAGCAGCGGAGUGGGUGUAGGUGUGGGGGGCAACUCCUGAGGACCCCCACUAGAGCCAAGCAUCCAUUUAUCACAAGAUAGAAACAACUCGUUUGUCAGUAGGUUCCAAUGUCAUGAAUUGACUGGAAGGAUGGAGAAACCAGGUUGAUUAAUCUCGCAGAAAUCCCUUCAGUUGCCUCCACAUUUUGCAUUGCUAGAAGGCUAGAGACUUGUUUCUUCUCUUUCAAAAAGAUAGCUCAUGGUCUGGGAUGUGGUGCAGUCAUGCUUGCUCAGGGAACCAUUCCCCCCCCCCCCCCCGUCCUACAAAUUCUGUAACAGAACAAUGUAUUUGCUUUGUAGGAUUUGCUAGAGCUUCUCAUUUAGACGGGCAGAACUUGGUAGAAGACCAAAGGGUUCCUUCUGAUCUCUCAGAGGCUUCCUGAGAGCACAGAUGGAUGAGCAAGACUCAGCUGGCCCUGGAACAGGAAGAGGCCAUGCUAACCAAACUGGGAGCAGUGGGGGAUUCUGGGAAAACUCUGUGCAGAAGAUCCAUGGUGAGGUGGACACCCUCCGCUCAGAGGUGCAGAGCCAGCAGUUGAGGCAGUUCUGCUGCCAGGAGGCCAAAGGACCGCGAGAGGUUUGCAGCCGACUCUACCACCUUGGCCAUCAGUGGCUGAAGCCAGAAAGGCACACGAAAGCUGAGAUGCUGGACUUGGUGAUCUUGGAGCAUUUCCUGGCUGUCCUUCCCCCGGAGAUGGAGAGCUGGGUGAGGGACUGUGGAGCGGAGACCAGUUCGCAGGCGGUGGCCCUGGCCGAAGGUUUCCUCCUGAGUCAGGCAGAGGAGAGAAAGCAGGAACAGAGUAAACAGGUGAGAGAGACUUUCCUCUGGAUACUCCCAAGGGGCUCCAAACAGGACAGAGAACAUCCCAUAAUGGUCUGCUGAUGGCCCAUUUUCUGGGAAAGCAUCCAUGGAAUGAGAUCUCGCACCCUUGAAGUCUUUGUCAUUCUCUUUCUAGUAUUUCUCCCCAUUCUCUGUUUUGAAUCCUUGUUUCUUUCUCAGGGAAAGGAUCUCUUUGCAGAAAUGGACCUGGAUUCCUGUGAGGCAGAGAGGCCUCCGUUGGACACCAGAGAGAGGCCACUGGGUAAGGAGGAAGGUGGUUUUUCUCCACUGGUCUCAUUCUGUUGGUUUCCCAACUCAUCUGAGGGUUCUUUUCAUCUUGUUUUCGGGGGAGACAGUUGGGAGGAAUCGUCCAGAGGAGGGGAGAUGUAUUUCUGCACAAACAAACAUAUGAAAUGGGCACAAACCUCCAAAUACUCUCAGUAGGUAAGUCUUUCUCAAAGGCCCAUCUGUAGUUAGAGAUGCCCUGUUUCACCUGUGAGAGAAGCAGGCUCUCCUGGGGUCCUGCUUACCUUUUUUCUCUUGCAGGUGGCAGAAGGAUGCCGGCAAGACCUCCUGAUCCGCCUUUUCAUGGGGACAGAAGGGAAGCAGCGGCUGUGGAAGCAGAUCAGGUCAGGGGAAGCUGUCUUGUGGGGACAGAGGCCGAGGGAUGGAGCAAUGUCAUGGACUGGUUGGGCGCAGAGGAACGGUGGGAGGAAGCAGCCUGGGAACCAGGAAAGGAAGACGGCUCAGAUCCGAAGGAGUGGAGGUGGAGGAAGGAUGAGCGGUCAGAGGGAGAAGAGGGAGAAGUCUGGGAAGAGGAGAUGUCAGAAGCCGAAGAAGUAACAGGGUUUAGUGAGCUGGGAGAUUCUGUGGCAGAAUGCAGCGCAGAAUCAGAGGCAGAAGAGGAAGGAGGUGAGUGGGAGAGGAAGGUCGAGAGGCUGAUGUGAAUCAGGAGAAGGAAGAGCCACUGAUGGCUCCCUCUCCUUUUGCCAGAAGCCACCCUCCCUGCUUGUCUCUCAGAGCCAGGAGACCCCCUGCAAUGCAGGAAUCUCUGCUAGAUCAUCCAAGACAGAUGGCCAUCCAAAAGAGGCUUAUUUUAUUUCUAGAUUGAUAACUGAAUGCAAAAAUUGGUUUCUAAGCAGUGGACAAAUGAGAACAAAUAGUGGCCUGGAUUCAACUAACCAGCCCCAUCCACUGCAAAAUUGGACCUGCCCAGCAAUCCUCCCCGUCCCCCGCUCCAUGCUCCCCUGAACCCCUUGAAUUUGGCUCUAGGGCAUUGGGAGGGAACUCCCCAGAAGAGCUCAGGAGGAGAGGAGAAAGUGGAUCCUUCCAUCAGGCAAACUGGAAAGCUUGGGUAGGCAGAAUGAUUUGAAAACCACAUGUGGAGUACCACCUGUUUGCACAAAGACAAAUACCCAUAAUUAAAACGCAGAAUAAAAUAAGCAUCCAUAAUUAAAAUGUGCUGCAAAACAGUCCUAUUGAAACAACACAGCAAUUUACAGGAUGGAAACCACAGAGCAUUGUGGAGCAGAUCAUAUUUCUGCUGUCUCAGAGGAGGACAUUUCCCUUUUUCUUUUAGGGUCCAGUGUGCUUUGAAGAUGUUGCUGUUCGUUUCACGGACGAGGAGUGGGUGUUGCUGGAUCCUGACCAGAGAGCUCUGCAUAAGGACGUUAUGGAGGAGAAUCGUGGGAUUGUGGCCUCUCUUGGUAAGGCUCCCUGUGGGAUCGUCAUAUCUGCCUGGAAAUUCAAAAAAUACGUCUAUAGACCAACCUCACAUAUUUUCACAGAGCUCAACAGCGCCCCCUAUAACACCUGGGAACCUAACACUC